AUUCCCGUAGCUCAAGUGGUAGAGCGGCGGUCUCCAAAACCGCAUGUUGUAGGUUCGAAUCCUGCCGGGAGUG
rnacentral:tRNA from 1 species